GUAGGUGAACCUGCGGAAGGAUCAUUAACACGUAUCCACGUAUCAACCCCUCUGUGAACCCCUAGAAACAGCAAGGCGUGGUCUUAGUGCGUUGUUCGUUAUGGGUCCUAAUGAUGGGCAAGCUCUUUCGGGCGCUUGCAGGGCUCGAGCAGCGUGUGUUUGACGACCAGCCGAUACUUUUCCAUUGUUGGCCUUUUUUUUACCAUUUUAACCCCUUGUACUCUUUUGUACUGAACCAUUCUUCGAUGCU
rnacentral:misc_RNA from 1 species